rnacentral:rRNA from 1 species
CGGCCUUGAAAUACCACCCUUUAAUGUUUGAUGUUCUAACGUGGACCCGUGAUCCGGGUUGCGGACAGUGUCUGGUGGGUAGUUUGACUGGGGCGGUCUCCUCCUAAAGAGUAACGGAGGAGCACGAAGGUUGGCUAAUCCUGGUCGGACAUCAGGAGGUUAGUGCAAUGGCAUAAGCCAGCUUGACUGCGAGCGUGACGGCGCGAGCAGGUGCGAAAGCAGGUCAUAGUGAUCCGGUGGUUCUGAAUGGAAGGGCCAUCGCUCAACGGAUAAAAGGUACUCCGGGGAUAACAGGCUGAUACCGCCCAAGAGUUCAUAUCGACGGCGGUGUUUGGCACCUCGAUGUCGGCUCAUCACAUCCUGGGGCUGAAGUAGGUCCCAAGGGUAUGGCUGUUCGCCAUUUAAAGUGGUACGCGAGCUGGGUUUAGAACGUCGUGAGACAGUUCGGUCCCUAUCUGCCGUGGGCGCUGG